AACUAAUGCAGAACCCACAACGCCAAAUCCUGAACCGACAACAAUUCAUGGAUCUGGAGCUACAACUGCAGGAACCACAACAGCACCUGCAGGAUCAUCGACAACUGCAGUGUCAACAACGACAACUGUAGAUCUCCCUACAGAAAAUAAAGGGACUAUUGAUUUGAGAUUCAGCAUGAGUCGUACGUUUAUAAAAGACUACUUAGAUUCAAGCUCAGCAGCCUAUCAGGUGCUGGCUGCUAAUGUAACAACAGAGGUUAACAAUGGCUUCAAACAUAGUUUUCCUGGAACAUAUUCCGGGAGUACAAUCAACUCUUUUGCUGAGGGAUCAGUCUUUGUGGACAUGACGCUGAUCUUCAACAAAGAAUCUGCUGUUCCUACUGAAAGCCGUGUGGUGCAGGUAUUGAAGGACGCAGUAGAUGAUCUAAUGACCUUCCUCGAUGUGGACACUACAACUAUUGUUGCAG